AUUCCUCUCAAUUUUCUCCUCAAGGAGUAAUGAGAAAAACCUAGAGUUUUAAAUCAAAUCUCUCUUUUCACUAUUUAUUCUAGGAUUUGAUCUUCAAAGUAUGUAGGCUUUAUCAAUGGGAUUCAUUCACCCAUUGAGCACAAAGGGCUUGGGGACUCCACUCCUUUCUUUUGUGGCUAGUGAGAACAUAGAGAUUCAAGAAUUAGGAUAUGACCCCUCAAAGAGAUUAUGUGAGAAGGAAUGCGGGCAACAACAAUAUGGAGACCUAGGCUCCUCAAGUUCCACCAAUCCUUUGGCUGAGAAAGUGAUUCAUGCUUAAUUCCAAUAUUUUUUUCCAAGUGUUGGGUCAAGCUAUGAUGACCCAAGAUAACAAAGAAGUUAAUGCUCUUGAGAAUCCAAAUGUAGGAAUGAUGGUGGUAAGGAUAAUGGGCUUCAAUAGGAUGGAUAUUAUCCUCAAUAGUUCAUUAAUGAGGUUUAAUAGACAAUAGGGAUUAUCGGAUUGUCUACGGUAGAGAAGGUAGAAUUGGAUGCUAACAAACUCAAGGAUGUUUCUCAAGUGUGGUUUGAACAAUGGAAGAUAUAGAGGGCGGUUGAUGCGGGUCCUCUUGAUUGGGAGAAAUUUAAUGGAGUUUUUCUUGAUUGUUUCUUUUAUUUUGAAAUGAGAUAACUGAAAGAGCUUGAGUUCAUUAAACUCCGACAACGAAAUAUAAGUGUGGAGGAGUAUUCGUUGAAUUUCACUAGUAGGCUAAGUAUGCUCCAACCAUGGUUACAGACUCUAGAGCAACGAUAAGUAAGUUUGUGUUGGGUGUCUCCGACUAGGUUGCCAAUGAAUGUCGUACCACCAUGUUGUUAGGAGAUGGAUAUUUCUCAUUUGAUGAUACAUUCCCAACAAAUUAAGGAGGAAAAGCUCAAGUAAAGGGAAACAGAAUCCAAGAAGGCAAUGAUCGAUAAUGGUGACACUGACAUUCUUAGUCUAAUUGACAAGGACAUCCUCAAUUUUGGCAAAAGGUUUUACGAACAAGGUUCCUCUAAUGCUUUGUCUCUAAUUUUCAACAAAGAUAAGGUGUCUAACCGUAAGCCUCAAGGAGGAAAUUCUGCUAAUGGAUGUUUUAUAUCCACUUUCCCAAGGUGUGAAAAAUUCACUCAAUUAAGUGCUUAGUCAUUACAGAUGGUUUAUUUUGUUACGGGAAGAGUGGUCACAUGUGAAAUAUUUUACAUUGAAAUUUAGCCAUGGUAAGAAUGGUAGACAAAUUCAACCUAAAUGUUCUGGUUCAGGUGCUCAGAAUCAAAAUAGAUUCUAUAUACUGUGGCAUGAUCAUGAGGGUUCUCUGGAUAUGGUGAAGGGUAUGUUGAAAGUAUUUUAUCUUGAUGUACUUGAUCCCAAUUCUACCUUAUGGUUUGUAAUUUGAUAUUGGUCCCGAAAUCCUUUCUAAUUCAAUUGUGGCUAAGAGAGUCUA